rnacentral:rRNA from 1 species
GACGAACGCUGGCGGCGUGCUUAACACAUGCAAGUCGAACGGAAAGGCCCUGCUUUUGUGGGGUGCUCGAGUGGCGAACGGGUGAGUAACACGUGAGUAACCUGCCCUUGACUUUGGGAUAACUUCAGGAAACUGGGGCUAAUACCGGAUAGGAGCUCCUGCUGCAUGGUGGGGGUUGGAAAGUUUCGGCGGUUGGGGAUGGACUCGCGGCUUAUCAGCUUGUUGGUGGGGUAGUGGCUUACCAAGGCUUUGACGGGUAGCCGGCCUGAGAGGGUGACCGGCCACAUUGGGAAUGAGAUACGGCCCAGACUCCUACGGGAGGCAGCAGUGGGGAAUAUUGCACAAUGGGCGGAAGCCUGAUGCAGCAACGCCGCGUGCGGGAUGACGGCCUUCGGGUUGUAAACCGCUUUCGCCUGUGACGAAGCGUGAGUGACGGUAAUGGGUAAAGAAGCACCGGCUAAAUACGUG